rnacentral:rRNA from 1 species
GACGAACCGUGCGAACGUUGUUCGGAUUCACUGGGCUUAAAGGGCGCGUAGGCGGACGCCCGCGUCCGGGGUGAAAUCCUCCGGCCCAACCGGAGAAUCGCCUCGGAUACGGGGUGUCUCGAGGGAGGUAGGGGCGCGCGGAACUUCCGGUGGAGCGGUGAAAUGCGUAGAUAUCGGAAGGAACGCCGGUGGCGAAAGCGGCGCGCUGGACUUCUACUGACGCUGAGGCGCGAAAGCCAGGGGAGCGGAACGGG